rnacentral:rRNA from 1 species
GGAAACUCACCAGGUCCAGACACAUUAAGGAUUGACAGAUUGAGAGCUCUUUCUUGAUUAUGUGGGUGGUGGUGCAUGGCCGUUCUUAGUUGGUGGAGUGAUUUGUCUGCUUAAUUGCGAUAACGAACGAGACCUUAACCUGCUAAAUAGUCGGGCCCGUUUUGGGGGGUCGCAGGUUUCUUAGAGGGACUAUCGGCUUCAAGCUGAUGGAAGUUUGAGGCAAUAACGGGUCUGUGAUGCCCUUAUAUGUUCUGGGCCGCACGCGCGCUACUCUGACGGACCCAACGAGUAUUUUUCCUUGUCCGGAAGGUCUGGGUAAUCUUGUUAAACUCUGUCGUGCUGGGGAUAGAGCAUUGCAUUUAUUGCUCUUCAACGAAGAAUUCCUAGUAAGCGAAAGUCAUCAUCUUGCGUUGACUACCUCCCUGCCCUUUGUACACCCCGCCCGUCUCUACUACCGAUUGAAUGGCUCAGUGAGGCUUUCAGACUGGCCCAGGGACNUUGGCAACGAUGGACCAGGCGCCGGAAAGUUAGUCAAACUUGGUCAUUUAGAGGAAGUAA